rnacentral:miRNA from 1 species
CUAGUGCUUAGACAAAACCCGGUU